UGCCCACCACAUCUGUACUCGUAGAGGAGGAACAUGCAGACGACGGUGUCGUCGUGGUCACGAACAAUCCCAUGGGCAAGUGGACUGUAACUUGGGAUUGCUGUGCUGCGUACGCCGCAAAGGAAAAUGAUUCCGUCUCCAUCUACCAUCCUGGAUGUCUUCAAGAUUUGGCUAAUGACCUGAGAUUACUGCCUGCUAUUGCUUUAUCUUUCUUUACAUGAAUCAAACUGCUAUCUAUCAAACUCGAAAACAUUUAUGCAUUGAAGUAAAAUUUGGCAAAUAUUCCUUGAAAUAAAGCUAAAUGAGCAUUGCA